GACGUAGGAUGCAAGCGUUGUCCGGAAUUAUUGGGCGUAAAGAGUUCGUAGGCGGUUGCCUAAGUCUGAUGUUAAAUACUGGAGCUCAACUCCGGCAUGGCAUUGGAAACUGGGCGGCUAGAGUGUGGUAGAGGUCUCGGGAAUUCCAGGUGUAGCGGUGAAAUGCGUAGAUAUCUGGAGGAACACCGGUGGCGAAAGCGCGAGACUGGGCCAUAACUGACGCUGAGGAACGAAAGCCAGGGGAGCAAACGGG
rnacentral:rRNA from 1 species